AUGAAAUCUUUGCUGUAUGUAUCUUCUCUGUUUUCUUAUUCAGAGAUAAAAGAGAAUGAAAUGAAGCAAGCAGAGAUAAAUUUCUUUGGCCCACUUAUAGCUGUGGUUGUAGUGAUCACUUCUGCACUUCUUCUGGGUUUUGUGAUAUUAAAGAAGAACAGAAAUAUCUUGUCUACCAACCAGAGCGUCAGUCUAGCAGUCUAGAAGCUAUCCAGCUUGAAACUGUGGCCAUCAGCCAGACUGCUGACUGGGAACCACCUCUGCACACAGCAAAGCAUGAGCUCCCGUGUUUUUAGAGGUUCUGCCAGGACAAGAAUCCUCCCCAGAAGCCCUACAGAACAACAUACAACACUUCUGUGUGAUGGCUGAAACCGACUUCCUGGUGUUCUGUGCUUUUAUUUUUGCUCCAGAAUAGUAGUAAAUAUGAUGCUCUGCCUGUCUGCAUGACGACCUUUUUGUUGUAUAUUUUAUUAUGCACUGUAACCAUGUAAAAUCCUGAGAGUCAAUGGAGAAAGCAGAGCUGCAUGGGUCACAGAAUGUCUCAGAAAUAGAAAGAAUUAAGGUGCAAUCUGUGAAUCAUAACCAUCACUGCAAAUACGAUCAGAGGUAGGCUAUUACCCAUAGACUCAUAGAACCAUGGAAUCAUAAAAUGACUUGGGCUGGAAGGGACCUUGAACAUCAUGUAAUGUCAAACCUCCUGCCUAACUAUGAGCCAUAAAGGCUUCUGGCAGAGCCACUGUGGCUUUGUACCCAUGACUUUCUUGUAAAGCUUCACUUCAGAAAGUGGAACUUCAGGGCACUUCCCCACCUUCUGAGAAAAGUCAUGGAAUUCCUAUCAAGCAUUUGAAACUAGAAAUAAUCAAAAGGAAAUACUUGCUUUAAACAUAAUUUGUGAUUACCUUCAUUUUUUUUAAUAUCAUCCAAGCUUAAUGUACUCAGACAGUUAGUACCUCCACACUUUGUUCCUCUGUAUUCUGACUGAGAGCUGUAACAGUUGUUCAGGUGGAUGCAGAAAUAGAAAAUGAUAGCAUGAGGUAUCAUAUGUGUGUAUAUUUAGCCAUACAAAAUUAGGCUGAGCAGAUAUUGAAAAGAUAUUACAUAUGUCAUGUUCCUUUUUGGUUGACUAUAUUCCCCUUUCUUAAUUUUACUUCAGACCUUGAUGACAGAGCAAUUCACACACUGUGGUAGGUUCAGCCAUAGGAAGGAGUUUUAUCUUUUAGAAAAGAUCCUUUGUUUCGCUCAAAAUGUAUCAGUUCUCCAAUCUUGAAUGAUCUCUGUGCUUUAUAUUCUUCAACAGCACUGACAUCUUUCAGGAAGAAGAAUGCAGCAGAACUGAGACAGAAUUCUUCUAAGAUCUUGAUUGUGUUUAUAGGUCUGACACUUUCAGAAAGAGCAGGGACAUUAGCAUCAUAUUCUCAAGAUGAAUUUCAGCUCAGAGUUGCAGUCUGGGAACAUAAAUUCUCUACAGUUGUUGGGUAGAAAUGUUCUUUUCUGUUAAAUUAUGUGAGUUGCUAGAUUCCACCUCAAUUUGUGCUCCAUUUUCAAGUGUGUGAGAGAAAUGCAUGUCCUUUUGAGUUAGCUAAACUAUUUGGGUGUCAGUUUAUUAAGCUAUUACACUAACAUUCCAAAUAUUUUCAUUCAGAUUAAUAUCAUUCAAAUGUUAUUAGAAGGUAAAUGUUUUAAUUUUUGUAAAAGUUUAUACUUUCUAGCAAACUU
ensembl:lncRNA